AUCAAUAACCAACAGUUAAGUUAUGAAAUUAUCACAUCAUGCUACUACGUGUGUACAUUCAGAAUAGCUCUCUGAAGUGCAUCAACCACUUUUUGGGCAGUUGGAGUUUCCAGUGUUGUCUCGACCUUAUGAUAACAACCUCAUUCACCCCCUUCAUAUCCAAGCGCCACAAGUGGUUAUAAAUACAUCACCAAGACCAGGAUCAAGCUAAGGGUAUUGAAAAUCUGGUCAUUGUCUCCUGACGAGCAGAAAUACGUAAGACAAACUUUGGAGUUUGUGGCAAUGGAUCAGCUGGUGAGCUAGCUAACAUAAUGUAGCUUUUUAGUUUUAUUUCUUUAUGUGUUGGUUUUAUUAGCAGACCAGGGCUAUGUAAAAAAUCCGCUGACUUAAUGAAUUACCACGUGAAUUGCACGUUCAUAUGCAUCAUAUACCGCCAUGAUUUGCAUACAGGGAGAUCGCAUCCAAUGUUCCAUUAGGAAUCCACAGCGAAGGCUGUUUGAGGAUGAGUUGGUGGAGGAAAAAAUAUAUACCAUCUGCAACUUUUCAGUUGCCAUUAAU